UGCCUAAUACAUGCAAUGUCGAGCGAACUGAUUAGAAGCUUGCUUCUAUGACGUUAGCGGCGGACGGGUGAGUAACACGUGGGCAACCUGCCUGUAAGACUGGGAUAACUUCGGGAAACCGAAGCUAAUACCGGAUAGGAUCUUCUCCUUCAUGGGAGAUGAUUGAAAGAUGGUUUCGGCUAUCACUUACAGAUGGGCCCGCGGCUGCAUUAGCUAGUUGGUGAGGUAACGGCUCACCAAGGCAACGAUGCAUAGCCGACCUGAGAGGGUGAUCGGCCACACUGGGACUGAGACACGGCCCAGACUCCUACGGGAGGCAGCAGUAGGGAAUCUUCCGCAAUGGACGAAAGUCUGACGGAGCAACGCCGCGUGAGUGAUGAAGGCUUUCGGGUCGUAAAACUCUGUUGUUAGGGAAGAACAAGUACGAGAGUAACUGCUCGUACCUUGACGGUACCUAACCAGAAAGCCACGGCUAACUACGUGCCAGCAGCCGCGGUAAUACGUAGGUGGCAAGCGUUAUCCGAAUUAUUGGGCGUAAAGCGCG
rnacentral:rRNA from 1 species